AACCUUUAGUUGGUGAGGCUUAACUUAAUUUCUAGACAAACAAGCCUUUAGCUUUUCUUCCCUGUUUUUGUUUUGCUCCACCUUUUUCCAUUUGGUUCCUGUCUAAGUUUGGUUUGAAGGUGUCUCCUUUCAAUCCGGGUCUUCAACCAGACAGAACUGAGUAGUUGCGCACGUCAAACACACAGCAUGCAUCCUUAAUGAAUAAACCAUACAAAGCCAAUGAAGUCUCAAUUCAAGUUGAGUCGUGUCAGUCAUUCCCUGCCAUGUAUCAUCUCCAUKACCUGACUGUUAAACUGAACUGGGCCUCUGCCUGCUCUUUAGCUGGGGUCCUACAGUAGAUGGACAUCACCUAAAGUUCAAUCAGUUAGAAUCUUGUAACUGAAGAAAAUUGACAGGCUACGAACUGAAGUAUUGGGGGGUGUUUCCCUGGGCACCCUUAUCAUGGGGGGACAUGCAGGAAACUUACAAAAGCACCCUUUGGUCAUGUUCAAGUGAGUUUUGUACCUGGAAGGUCCUGUGUGUGAAWAGGUUGUAUGGCAUCCUUGCUUUUGGUUUAUUUCUGUGUGCAACCAUUUUGACUGCAUUGAAGAAAUGUUUGGAAUGUGGUCGAUUUUGUUCUGAAUGUGUUGCGUUUAGCCAUCAGAGUUUAUUAAUGUGAUAAUAUUCAAGAUGUUAUUUAUGUAAAGCCACUGUAUUGUCCUUUUGUUUGGGGAGGCUUUGCUGGUUUGAUGUCCAGGCAUUAUUUUGGGCAUCACCCUCCAAUAAGGGGAUCGUCUAUAAGAAAAGUAAAUUGUGUUUCUAAAAUAACCAAUGUAUACAAAUGGGUAACGGUCUAUACUACCAUCAGAAGUACAGUAUUUGUUUUUGGUCAUCUUGAGAACUUGAUCAGCUGAAUCCAUGAAACAUUGUAUUUCAGAAGGCUCUCUAGUGGAAGUGACAGAUUAAAGAUGUACUCUUAAUGUGGGCWAAUCUGUCAAACAAGCUAAUCUAAAGUUUAAUCGUUGCUUGUUCAUCUGCCUCUGURCUGUUUCCUUUGAAUGGUCCUCGAACCUGUGUAACAUUAAGAUAUUACAAUUGU